AGAAACAUCAAAAUCACAAUGGUAACCAUUCUUUUUGUUUUAUUUUCUCAUUCCAAUCCCAUCGAGGCAAAUUUAACACACCGUCUGUUGUGUAUUUUUCCUUGCAAAACGCACAAAGAAACAUGUCACACACAUGCAGGCAUGCAAGGAGAGAUGUCAGUGUAUAAGGGCCGUGCAAGUGGUGCUACGCCUCUUGAGCUGGCAGGGUGAGAUGAAACACGAUGACGGUCUGGUGUAAAUGUGCAAGUCCAUCAAGAUGAGCUAAACUGAAACAAUUGUUGAUCAGCCCUCCCAGUUUGUUCUAGAUUUCACUGAUAACAUCAAACGCAAUCUGAAACACUCACAUUGUUGAAGCCGUUUAAAAUCUAGUUGGACUACCCA